rnacentral:rRNA from 1 species
GACGAACGCUGGCGGCGUGCUUAACACAUGCAAGUCGAACGGAAAGGCCUGCUUUCCCUUGUGGAUUGCGGGUACUCGAGUGGCGAACGGGUGAGUAACACGUGAGUGAUCUGCCCCCAACUUGGGUAUAAGCCUGGGAAACUGGGUCUAAUUCCCGAUAGGACUGCAGGGUGGUGCCUGUGGUGGAAAACGAUUUUCUAGUGGUUGGGGAUGAGCUCGCGGCCUAUCAGCUUGUUGGUGGGGUAAUGGCCUACCAAGGCGGCGACGGGAAGCCGGCCUGAGAGGGUGGACGGCCACAUUGGGACUGAGAUACGGCCCAGACUCCUACGGGAGGCAGCAGUGGGGAAUAUUGCACAAUGGGCGGAAGCCUGAUGCAGCGACGCCGCGUGGGGGAUGACGGCCUUCGGGUUGUAAACUCCUUUCGACCGCGAGGAAGCCACCUGGUUGGAAGGGUGGUGACGGUAGUGGUAGAAGAAGCACCGGCUAACUACGUG